CAGGAUCCAGCCCUUCUGAGCCUUCAUUUAAGGGUUGGCAGUGAGGUGAGGGGAUCUUCCUGGAGUCCCUGCAUGCCUGUGGCCUUCCAAAGUUGGAGACACUGGAUUCAUGCGGAGUGGGUUGUGGCUUUGAUGGUUUUCCUUGGAGAGAAGUGAAAGACACAGAGUAGUCCUAGCAUCACUUGGAGGCAAGGCAGAUGUACAUCACAGGUUUCUCUGAGCAUCACUUCAGCCGUGGUCUAACUGACUGUAUCACUUGUCUUACCUGUGACAAAAAAACUGAUGUGUCCAUGCCAAGAGUUACUGACCAUCAGUGCCUCUUCAGAAGAGGUGGUAAGAGUAAGCCCACUGAUGGAUGUGCUACUGUGCAUGGGAGGACCUUCAAGCAGCCAUUUUCCAUGUGAGAAACUUUACUAGCUGUAGGUUCAAGGCAGCUGAACUCGGCUCUUUGUGCUAAAGCAUGAACAGGGCUGGAAAGAGAAUAAUGUCUCCUGCUGACAGCAAUUCCUGAAAAAAGAAAAAAAAAUCCAAUGAGCCAUUACUUUGUGAGGUGAUAAAGGAUUAUAUAAAUUCAAAACUUCUAUUGUGAGCAGAAAUUGUGGCCUUUUUGCUGAGGUGGGCUUUAUGACUGCUGUUAGUGCUGGUGCAUAGAGAAACAGUGAACAGCAAGCGAUGUGACAUCUCCAAGUACUGAUAGAAGUUCAUCUGGAAAAGUCUCUCGGACUGUUCUUCUGUAACUUUUCAGGAGGAGCUGAGCCCUAUUCCUAAUCUCCUGCCUUCUUCAAGAGGUAAAUAGAAGGACUCUCAGCUGGCGUUGUCUGUGAGCAUCUGUCCAUUUCUCUGCACAUCUCCCGCUGCCAUGCUGUUGGUUUGCUUGCCCACUCUUCCAUCUCUCCACUUCAAUGAGAAGCAGACAAGAAAUUCUCUGGGAUUCGGAAAACUCUUGCUCCUGAGUAGAAGAGCACGAUGGAGAGGGGAUAUAAACAGCGAUUUUGUGAAAGCCACCAAAAAUGCUAAAAUGCGUGAACUCAAUGAUGGGGCCCUUUGGUACAACUGGGGCUUAUAAAAGACUGCCAACAUAAGAAGGGGAAAAAAAAGGAGCUUCUCAGGGGUGUCUGUAGUCCAUUGAUGAAAGAUAUCAUAGGCAUCAGAUGCAUGCUUAAUUGCUAGGAAGUGCACUAAUGACUUGCAUCACUUGGCAUGCCUAUAGGCUGCAGCAAGGCCUGUCCUGUUGUGCAGUGCACUCGUUUAUUGAAAAGCCAUCCCUACUGUGAGUAAUUCUGUGGCUAAAUAGGCAGGGCUGGUGGAUCUUGGGAGAACGUGUUAGUCUCACUUUGUGUCAUAGGAGCUGAAGCUAAGAUCUUUCAGCAUAAAGCCUUACCUGUGCGUGCCUCCUCCCUCCCCAGCAGAUUACUGGUGGUGGUGACUUUGUUAGAUGAGUAGAGCCAUGCUUUUCCUUCUGCUGGAUGUUAAUCAUGCAGUAUUUAUACGCAAUCCUUUCUACAUCCUUAAAUGAAAAGCACCAGGAUCAGGCAAGAUUAUUUCUUUGUCAUUACGUGUUAGUCACCAGAGCUGAGGACCUCUCUGGCCAAAAGAACUUGGGGAGGAGCUCCAGAGCAGCAGGCAGACAUUAACAGCUGAUCUACAUGAGUUAGUCAAGGGGGUUGAUGCUGUGCCUUAUGAAUUAUGUGGCUUGUAUGACUGUUCUGAUUUAUAAUGGCUCACUGAUGGAUGUGUGGCCACUAAAGAACAUUUCUCUUGUUCCA